UCGUUUACGGCAGGCCGCGCGGGGCCGGG
rnacentral:sRNA from 1 species